AACUUGCUGAAGACUGUGAGAGCUACAAAACUGAUUGAUCUCAUGAUGAAUCUUAUCAUAUAUCCAUAUGUUAUCAUAAUUCACACCAUAGUUGACCAGGGUGUCAUACACAUAUUCUUUGCGGAGGCGAUUGACAACCUCUAUUUUCUCAAAGUUGAUCAUUACACCUCCCUUAGUACCACAUGGAAUGUCCCUUACUUGAUCAGUCUGGAGGGUCACUUGAACAGGCACAAACUGGGUUAACAGUGGCAACUUCAGAUGGAAACCUGGAUCCGUUAUUGUCUUCAGAAGGGCACCUCCUCUCCAAUAUACCCCCACAUGACCCUCUGGUACUUGGUGUAAAAUAGAAAAAUCACUUUUCAAGUUUGAAUGAGAUGGAAUCAGCACCAUG
rnacentral:misc_RNA from 1 species